GACGAACGCUAGCGGCGUGCUUAACACAUGCAAGUCGAACGGAAAGGCCCUGCUUUUGUGGGGUGCUCGAGUGGCGAACGGGUGAGUAACACGUGAGUAACCUGCCCUUGACUUUGGGAUAACUUCAGGAAACUGGGGCUAAUACCGGAUAGGAGCUCCUGCUGCAUGGUGGGGGUUGGAAAGUUUCGGCGGUUGGGGAUGGACUCGCGGCUUAUCAGCUUGUUGGUGGGGUAGUGGCUUACCAAGGCUUUGACGGGUAGCCGGCCUGAGAGGGUGACCGGCCACAUUGGGACUGAGAUACGGCCCAGACUCCUACGGGAGGCAGCAGUGGGGAAUAUUGCACAAUGGGCGGAAGCCUGAUGCAGCAACGCCGCGUGCGGGAUGACGGCCUUCGGGUUGUAAACCGCUUUCGCCUGUGACGAAGCGUGAGUGACGGUAAUGGGUAAAGAAGCACCGGCUAACUACGUGCCAGCAGCCGCGGUGAUACGUAGGGUGCGAGCGUUGUCCGGAUUUAUUGGGCGUAAAGGGCUCGUAGGUGGUUGAUCGCGUCGGAAGUGUAAUCUUGGGGCUUAACCCUGAGCGUGCUUUCGAUACGGGUUGACUUGAGGAAGGUAGGGGAGAAUGGAAUUCCUGGUGGAGCGGUGGAAUGCGCAGAUAUCAGGAGGAACACCAGUGGCGAAGGCGGUUCUCUGGGCCUUUCCUGACGCUGAGGAGCGAAAGCGUGGGGAGCGAACAGGCUUAGAUACCCUGGUAGUCCACGCUGUAAACGGUGGGUACUAGGUGUGGGGUCCAUUCCACGGGUUCCGUGCCGUAGCUAACGCUUUAAGUACCCCGCCUGGGGAGUACGGCCGCAAGGCUAAAACUCAAAGGAAUUGACGGGGCCCCGCACAAGCGGCGGAGCAUGCGGAUUAAUUCGAUGCAACGCGUAGAACCUUACCUGGGUUUGACAUGGAUCGGGAGUGCUCAGAGAUGGGUGUGCCUCUUUUGGGGUCGGUUCACAGGUGGUGCAUGGCUGUCGUCAGCUCGUGUCGUGAGAUGUUGGGUUAAGUCCCGCAACGAGCGCAACCCUUGUUCACUGUUGCCAGCACGUUAUGGUGGGGACUCAGUGGAGACCGCCGGGGUCAACUCGGAGGAAGGUGGGGAUGACGUCAAGUCAUCAUGCCCCUUAUGUCCAGGGCUUCACGCAUGCUACAAUGGCUGGUACAGAGAGUGGCGAGCCUGUGAGGGUGAGCGAAUCUCGGAAAGCCGGUCUCAGUUCGGAUUGGGGUCUGCAACUCGACCUCAUGAAGUCGGAGUCGCUAGUAAUCGCAGAUCAGCAACGCUGCGGUGAAUACGUUCCCGGGGCU
rnacentral:rRNA from 1 species